rnacentral:rRNA from 1 species
UCAAGUAAUUAAGUGCAUGUGGUGGAUGCCUUGGCAGUCAGAGGCGAUGAAAGACGUGAUAGCCUGCGAAAAGCUCCGGGGAGGCGGCAAAUAUCCUUUGAUCCGGAGAUGUCUGAAUGGGGAACCCACCUACUUUAAGGUAGGUAUUGCAACAUGAAUACAUAGUGUUGCAAGGCGAACGAGGGGAAGUGAAACAUCUCAGUACCCUUAGGAAAAGAAAUCAAUUGAGAUUCCCUCAGUAGCGGCGAGCGAACGGGGAUCAGCCCAUUAAGUUAUGUGUGUUUUAGUGGAACGCUCUGGGAAGUGCGAACGUAGAGGGUGAUAUUCCCGUACACGAAAGGGCACACAUAAUGAUGACGAGUAGGGCGAGGCACGUGAAACCUUGUCUGAAUAUGGGGGACCAUCCUCCAAGGCUAAAUACUCCUGACUGACCGAUAGUGAACCAGUACCGUGAGGGAAAGGCGAAAAGAACCCCUGUGAGGGGAGUGAAAUAGAUCCUGAAACCGCAUGCAUACAAGCAGUGGGAGCACCUUCGUGGUGUGACUGCGUACCUUUUGUAUAAUGGGUCAGCGACUUAUAUUCAGUAGCGAGGUUAACCGUAUAGGGGAGCCGUAGAGAAAUCGAGUCUUAAUAGGGCGUUUAGUUGCUGGGUAUAGACCCGAAACCAGGCGAUCUAUCCAUGAGCAGGUUGAAGGUUGGGUAACACUAACUGGAGGACCGAACCCACUGUCGUUGAAAAGCCAGGGGAUGACUUGUGGAUAGGGGUGAAAGGCUAAUCAAGCCUGGUGAUAGCUGGUUCUCCCCGAAAGCUAUUUAGGUAGCGCCUCGGACGAAUACCAUAGGGGGUAGAGCACUGUUUCGGCUAGGGGGUCAUCCCGACUUACCAAACCGAUGCAAACUCCGAAUACCUAUGAGUACUAUCCGGGAGACAGACUGCGGGUGCUAACGUCCGUAGUCAAGAGGAAAACAAUCCAGACCGCCAGCUAAGGCCCCAAAAUCAUAGUUAAGUGGGAAACGAUGUGGGAAGGCAUAGACAGCUAGGAGGUUGGCUUAGAAGCAGCCACCCUUUAAAGAAAGCGUAAUAGCUCACUAGUCGAGUCGGCCUGCGCGGAAGAUGUAACGGGGCUAAAACUAUGUGCCGAAGCUGCGGAUGUAUACUUUGUAUACGUGGUAGGGGAGCGUUCUGUAAGCCGAUGAAGGUGUGUUGAGAAGCAUGCUGGAGGUAUCAGAAGUGCGAAUGCUGACGUGAGUAACGACAAAACGGGUGAAAAACCCGUUCGCCGAAAGACCAAGGGUUCCAGUCCAACGUUAAUCGGGGCUGGGUGAGUCGACCCCUAAGGCGAGGCCGAAAGGCGUAGUCGAUGGGAAAAUGGUUAAUAUUCCAUUACUUCUGUGUAAUGCGAUGAGAGGACGGAGAAGGCUAAAUCAGCCUGGCGUUGGUUGUCCAGGUGAAAGGAUGUAGGCAUGUAUCUUAGGCAAAUCCGGGGUACUCUAUGCUGAGAUCUGAUAGCAAGCUGUACUUGUACAGCGAAGUGGUUGAUGCCAUGCUUCCAGGAAAAGUCUCUAAGCUUCAGUUACACAGGAAUCGUACCCGAAACCGACACAGGUGGUCAGGUCGAGUAGACCAAGGCGCUUGAGAGAACUCUGCUGAAGGAACUAGGCAAAAUGGUACCGUAACUUCGGGAGAAGGUACGCUGUUGUUGGUGAUGGAACUCGCUUCCUGAGCUGACGACAGCCGCAGAAACCAGGCCGCUGCAACUGUUUAUUAAAAACAUAGCACUCUGCAAACACGAAAGUGGACGUAUAGGUGUGAUGCCUGCCCGGUGCUGGAAGGUUAAUUGAUGGGGUUAGCGUAAGCGAAGCUCUUGAUCGAAGCCCAGUAAACGCCGCCGUAACUAUAACGGUCCUAAGGUAGCGAAAUUCCUUGUCGGGUAAGUCCGACCUGCACGAAUGGCAUAAUGAUGGCGGCGCUGUCUCCAGCAGAGGCUCAGUGAAAUCGAAAUCGCUGUGAAGAUGCAGUGUACCCGCGGCUAGACGGAAAACCCCCGUGAACCUUUACUGCAGCUUGACACUGAACUUUGACCUUACUUGUGUAGGAUAGGUGGGAGGCUUUGAAGCUGGAACGCUAGUUCCAGUGGGAGCCGUCCUUGAAAUACCACCCUGGUAAUGUUUGAGGUUCUAACUCUGUCCCGUGAUCCGG